rnacentral:rRNA from 1 species
AAAAACAUGUCUUUUUGAUUUUAAUUUAAAGUCUAACCUGCCCACUGAUUUUAUAUUUAAAGGCCGCAGUAUUUUGACUGUGCAAAGGUAGCAUAAUCAUUUGUCUUUUAAUUGAAGGCUAGAAUGAAUGGUUGAAUGAAGUAUUAACUGUCUCAUUUUAAUAAUUUAAUAACUUAGCUUUUAAGUUAAAAGGCUUAAAUAAAAUUAAAAGACGAGAAGACCCUAUAGAUUUUUAUAUUAUUAAUAAAAAUAUAAUUAAGAAAAUAAUUUAAAAUUUUUAUUUAUAAUAUUUAAUUGGGGUGAUUGGAAAAUUUAAUAAACUUUUUUUAUUAUUUAACAUUGAUUUAUGAUUUUAUGAUCCAAUAUUAUUGAUUAAAAGAUUAAAUUACCUUAGGGAUAACAGCGUAAUUUUUUUAGAGAGUUCAUAUCGAUAAAAAAGAUUGCGACCUCGAUGUUGAAUUAAAGAUAAUAUUUAAGUGUAGCAGUUUAAAUGUUGGGUCUGUUCGACCUUUAAAUCUUUACAUGAUCUGA